UACGUAGGGGGCAAGCGUUGUCCGGAUUUAUUGGGCGUAAAGAGUGUGUAGGCGGUGCUCUAAGUUCGGUGUGAAAUCUCCUGGCUCAACUGGGAGGGUGCGCCGGAAACUGGAGUGCUUGAGCGUGGGAGAGGAAAGCGGAAUUCCUGGUGUAGCGGUGAAAUGCGUAGAUAUCAGGAGGAACACCUGUGGUGUAGACGGCUUUCUGGACCAUAGCUGACGCUGAGACACGAAAGCGUGGGUAGCAAACAGG
rnacentral:rRNA from 1 species